UACGUAGGGUGCAAGCGUUAAUCGGAAUUACUGGGCGUAAAGCGUGCGCAGGCGGUUAUGUAAGACAGGUGUGAAAUCCCCGGGCUCAACCUGGGAACUGCAUUUGUGACUGCACGGCUGGAGUGCGGCAGAGGGGGAUGGAAUUCCGCGUGUAGCAGUGAAAUGCGUAGAUAUGCGGAGGAACACCGAUGGCGAAGGCAAUCCCCUGGGCCUGCACUGACGCUCAUGCACGAAAGCGUGGGGAGCAAACAGG
rnacentral:rRNA from 1 species